rnacentral:misc_RNA from 1 species
AACGCAUCUUGCGCCUCUCGGUAUUCCGAGGGGCAUGCCUGUUUGAGUGUCAUUGAAAAAACAUCAAAGGCCUUUCUUCUCUAAGGGGGUUGCCUUUGGACUUUGGGGGGGUUAGUGCUGGCAUCAUCUCCACGAGUCAGCUCCCCUUAAAUAGAAUAGCAAUGGUUGAAAACCCUGAGGCCAUGCUUCUCCUGGCAUUGAUAGAUUCCCUUUUCAUGCCUUGCAGCUUGGUUCUUUUGACAAGUGGACUGUUGCUCAUAGUGGUCCCUCUGGACAAAUAAAUGACACAAACUUGACCUCAGAUCAGGUAGGACUACCCGCUGAACUUAA